rnacentral:rRNA from 1 species
UACGUAGGGGGCUAGCGUUGUCCGGAAUCAUUGGGCGUAAAGAGCGUGUAGGCGGUCCGGUAAGUCCGCUGUGAAAGUCGGGGGCUCAACCCUCGAAUGCCGGUGGAUACUGUCGGGCUAGAGUGCGGAAGAGGCGAGUGGAAUUCCUGGUGUAGCGGUGAAAUGCGCAGAUAUCAGGAGGAACACCUAUUGCGAAGGCAGCUCGCUGGGACGUAACUGACGCUGAGGCGCGAAAGCUAGGGGAGCAAACAGG